AUUGAACGCUGGCGGCAGGCUUAACACAUGCAAGUCGAGCGGAGCGAGGGUGCUUGCACCUUAGCUUAGCGGCGGACGGGUGAGUAAUGCUUAGGAAUCUGCCUAUUAGUGGGGGACAACAUUCCGAAAGGAAUGCUAAUACCGCAUACGCCCUACGGGGGAAAGCAGGGGAUCUUCGGACCUUGCGCUAAUAUAUGAGCCUAAGUUGGAUUAGCUAGUUGGUGGGGUAAAGGCCUACCAAGGCGACGAUCUGUAGCGGGUCUGAGAGGAUGAUACGCCACACUGGGACUGAGACACGGCCCAGACUCCUACGGGAGGCAGCAGUGGGGAAUAUUGGACAAUGGGCGGAAGCCUGAUCCAGCCAUGCCGCGUGUGUGAAGAAGGCCUUUUGGUUGUAAAGCACUUUAAGCGAGGAGGAGGCUACUAGUAUUAAUACUACUGGAUAGUGGACGUUACUCGCAGAAUAAGCACCGGCUAACUCUGUGCCAGCCGCCGCGGUAAGAC
rnacentral:rRNA from 1 species